UAAGAUGCAAGUGGAACGAUCAAACAAUCAAGCAACUAAAAAUGCCAAUCAUUUCUUGGCACUUAUUCAUUACCUUUCAGCAAUCCGCAAUAAACAAUGUCCCGUGGCUUACGAAGGUAUAAUAAAGCAAAAUGUAUUCAAAAUUUGGGAUGGGCCAUCAAACUUGAUCUCCCUGAUGCAGCUAAAGAGAAACUUAUAAGCUUAGAGAAUGAAUAUUUUGGAAACGUGGCAGCUCAGGGUCAAAUGGAAGAGCUCAUUGUAUGAGUUAAGAAACAGAGGUUACAUAAGGUCUGACAGCUAGAGCAUUCAGCCAGUUUGCUACAGGAAUUGGAAAUAGAGUGUUUUAUGUUAGGGACUGGAAAACUUUUGCUCAAGGUUAAAUCAAGAAGAGUAAAAACAUCUUAAACGAAACCAACAACGAAAAGCUUCUGUACGUUCAUGUUCAUGCUUGGCGGGUCAAGCAAUAGAUAGCCAUCGCUUAGUGGAACCGGUAAUCAACUUAAUCAUCUAAAAAUAGUACAAUUAAUUAAGCUUAAAUUAAUUACUGGUUGUUUUUUUAAUCCCAUUUUUGGCAGUCAAUUAGAGAGAAUAAAAAUGCUUGACUGAAGCUUCAUAUAAAUUAUUACACUUUUGUUGAACAUUAACUUUAAGUUUGAUUAAAUGUGGCUACUAAUAUUGAAUUAAAGAUAUCUACAGAGAGUGCAAUACUCAAUCUUGCAAAAAGGUUCUACAGGAAGUGCUAAGUUUGUACUUUAUGCCAGAAACUUCAUUUGCCAAAGCUUGGAUCAUCAUAGAUAAGGUCAGGGAUACCUAUGUGUCAGCACUUAAAUGCAAAAUUGGAUCCACUUUGUAUGUUUUUGUUUUCAAAUGAUUUAUUUUAGUUGGAAAAAGGUGGGGAUACCCAUGGAGGAUAUCAAGAAAGAGAUAAGUUGGUUGAUUUAUCAAAUGAAGCUAUUGAGGAUCUACUGCAAGUUUUUUCCAUGAAGUCUUUAGUGGAGUUGGAAGGUAAUUUUUGUUACUAAUUGAAAAGUAGGGGUGAGCAAUAAUCAAAUUAACCAAAUCAUAACUAACUUAACCGAAUCGUAACGAUUAACUGAAAGUUAUGGUUCAGUUAUGGUUUUGGUGUGUGGCGUAGCCGCAUAGCUGAAUUAACCGAACUGGACCAAUGGUUAUUAUUUAUAAAGAAAUUAAUGCGGAUAAAUGGUUAUUAUGUAUAAAGAAAAUAUUUUUUUAUUAACGGUAGCCGUUACAACGGCUAUGAAGUUUGAAAUGUGGCUCGGCUUGAGCGUCGAGUUGGAGACAGAGAAAACGGGACGACCCCGGUGGGAGGGGGUGGGGAUGUGCAGGCCCGUCGCCGCACCAGGCCGACCCAGGGACGUCCCCCACACCAAGUAGUCUAAAAUUUCAUCUCAUUCUCAUCUAACACAAUGCCAAUUCUACUAUAAUCUGUUUUUUAUAUUUUUAUCAUUUUUGAUUGAUACAAAAAAAAUUAUCUAUGGUAUCCAUAUAUAUAUAUGUUGAGACCAUGCCUUACAAAUUGAUUGUGAGUACCGGCUAAUCGGCUAUAUUGAUUAUGACCAGGUACUUUUAAUCUUUUACCAUUUGGAUUUUAUAUGUGUGUAUAUAUUUAUAUAUUUGCUAUAUUGAAAUUUAAAGAGCACUUUAUUCAUAGUUCCCAAAUUGCAGUUGGAGCGAGCGUUUGACAGUGAAAUUGAUUAAUCUAGAUUGUUACUCAUCAUGCAUGUGUUGUUGACAUCUAGAUGCCAAUAUGUCACAUUAAGAUCAAACAUUUGUUACUCAUAGUUAUAAUACAUUCGACUUUUGUCUGACGUAAGAUCAAGAAACUAUCUUCGGAAAUAUCACUAAUUCAUUAUAGACGGUGAUCUCAAGAGACAAACUGCAUUCUACCAACCUACUGGGCCCUUCAUUAGGUAAUCUCUUGUAUAUUUUGGUAAUUUCCUAUUCGUAAGUUGUGUGUGACGAGUCGAACAGAGUACUAAUAGCUGCAAGUGAAUUUAGUAACUUGCAUUGUUUUAUUGUAACCAGACUUCAGUAUUUCUAUAACUUUUGAAGCAUAUGUAGGAUUCUUCUCAUCCUUUCUACCCCCAGGUGCGCUGGUUGUCUUUGAUCAAAGGUUCUUUAUUUUCUGAAAAAUGCGAUUUAAUGAUGACCUAUGCAGCUGCAUUGCAUACAUAGAAUCUGAAUCUCAUUUUACGCUUAUUAUAAAUUGUGUUUAUAAAAUGUUAGUUUAUAUGAGUAAUAACUAGGGCACGAAACGAAAUCACCACUAUUUGGUCUUUCCCCAAACAGUGGGCCUAUGGCUUUAACAUUUAUGGUUUUAAUGUGUUAUAAAUACUUUGGUAAUAUCAUAAACUUGUGUAUUUAUUAUGGUAAUAUGCCCGUCCACCGGACGGGUAUAGAACUAAUUUCAGUUGAAAACUAGGUUCAAGCGUAGGUGUUGGAGCCUUAAUUUCAAACGGAAAACAUCGCUUGGGUUUUGGUUGAUGAGCAAAUAAAGCUACGCGCUUUCGAAUGGGCGGUGGUUAUGUCGCUGACAUCGAUUUGGGGCAAAGCGGUGGUGGUCGAUGUUGGUAGGUGACGCAGGUUUGGGAAAGAGCGACGGUGUCGGUGGAGUGGAUGACACGUGUGGGGCAUUGUUACGCUGCUAGCGUAACCCGUCCACCGGACGGGAGGGAAAAGGCUAUUUGCUAGCUCCUGCUUCUCGGUUGCUUCUUAAGGAUGAGCCAUUAAGUGUUAGGCCCUUUUUGCUACUUGUGUUGGAUCCAAUCUUGGUAGACCCAUGGCAGCACAUGAGCAAAUGGUUCCAAAACAAUGAUGUCACCCCCUUUCACACAACCCAUGGGAGGAUGUUUUGGGAUCUGGCAGGCCAAGAGCCGAAGCUUAAUCAGUUAUUCAAUGAAGCAAUGGCUAGCGAUGCAAGGCUUGUUACAAGUGUUAUUCUCAAACAUUGUGGAGGUGUUUUUGAGGGGAUAGAAUCCAUUAUCGAUGUUGGGGGUGGUACUGGGACUUUUGCCGUAGCUAUUGCCAAAGCAUUUCCCAAUAUUCGGUGCAUCAGCUUUGAUCUUCCUGAUGUAGUUAAUGGUUUGGUUGGAAGUAAAAACUUGAGUUAUGUUGGUGGAGACAUGUUUGAAGCCAUUCCUAAAGCUGAUGCACUUUUGUUCAAGAAUGCAUAAAGAUACUAAAGCGAUGCAAAGAAGCGAUUCCAAGCAAAGACAAUGGAGGAAAAUUAAUCAUCAUAGACAUGGUCGUAAAGGUCAACAAAGAAGAGAAUGAAUUACUUGAGACUCAACUGUUGUUUGAUAUGCUUAUGAUGAGUUUAGUGACCGGAAGAGAGAGGAACGAAAAAGAUUGGGCAAAGCUCUUGGUUGAUGCAGGCUAUACAGAUUACAAAAUAACACCGAUAUUGGGGUUUAGAUCUGUUAUCGAAGUUUAUCCCUAAGUAAGUUACAUUUCUUCUUAGCAUGUUCUUGUUAAUCUGUGGUUCUUUAUCAACUUCGUUGUUCUUCAUCAUGUUUCAUCUUAUUACGUACUAUUAAACUCUUGACAAUAUUUGAGGGUAUGUGAUUUAUGCUUGUGCACAAGGCCUCAAAAUCUUAAGUAAAUUGUUAGCAGAGAGCCAGAGAAAGAGCUUGGUGGCCGGUUUAGAGAUUGUUGUCAAUGUCAUUUGGUAUGAGAUAUCAUCUGUAAUGAAUUUUCUUUCCAAGCAUUUAGAAUCAAACGAUAUGAUAAUUGAUGAUGUUAUUGAAAAAUCA